AAACGAAAAAGGAAAAACAAAAACUUGUUUCUUUCACUCUCGCUCACGCGAUUCACACCGUUUCUCCCAAACUGUUUCUUCUGAUCCACGAACGCUCGCGGAAGCUUUGUGUCGCAACGCAACAGCCAUCGUCGUCCUCGCCAAUCGUUCGUCAAGCUCGAGCAUUGUGAAGCAACCUUCGCCGCCGUCGAGCGACCACCGCUCCAUCUCCAUCGUAGCCACACACCACACCUCGCCGGAUCUGUUCUGCCACUCGUUGGAUUUGCUCCCUUUGAUCGCAAUUCUAGAUCCAUUUUCUACCAAUUGAACACAUAGGUUAAACCUUGUGAAGCAGAAAUUUGGGUUGAAAGCAAUUUCAAUUCUCUGUUUUCGUGUUGUUAAUUUGGAAAUGGUUGACUUAGGGUUUCAAUUCCAGCUCAAAUAUAUUAUCUAUCUGAGGCUUAUCUUCUUCGCUUUGAUGAUCAACUAUGGCUUCUGGUGGCAUGGAAUUUGAAUCUGAAGUUGUCUGCAACCGAAUCACAAGGAAGUUGUCGCACACUCAGAGUGUGCUCCAUCUCCGCUCGUAAACGUCGCGUUCGUCACCGGGCGUUGGAAGAUCCAUACGGAAAAAGUUCCAAAUCAUCAUCAUCAACGCCAAGAGUUGGAUCGCCGGGAGAAAGUUUGGCCUGUGGCAUCUCAACGACUGCGGCAAAUCAUCUUCAUCGACAUUCUAGUUCUUCCACUUGUGAGGUUCAAAGGUUUUGGUCAAGCAACCAAGAAGGUAAGCCACGAUUAAUAUACUAUAUAGUGUUUUGAAUGUUGUCAUUAAGUAAAUAUUCCAUAGAUGCAGCUUUUUUAAUUUGUUCCCAUAGACAUACUGUGUUUUGAGAUACCUUAUGCAAGUUCUAGUUUCAAUUGGCACUACUAAAUACUAAUCAUUGCAAUAUGUUGUUUCCAUCUAUCUUUUGCUUCUCCAUUGUUAGAUUUGUUUUAAUUUGAUGCUACAUAGUUUGAUUUAUAAUGAUUUCUCUUCCUAUCUAGUAGAAGGAAAAGAAACUGUUUAGUGGUUUCAGAUGAAAUCUAGAUAAAAAGAAGUCCAGGAUUAGGUCAUGAAUUAUCUUAUUCGAAUUCAAUAAUGGCAAUAGUUGAAAACAAAGAGUUAUCUGCUCAUCAGCAAAGCCUCUGAUGUAAGCUUUUCUGCUCUCUCAUCUCAUUUAAUUGUCACUUGCUUGUGUUGUCAUUCCAAUUAUAUGUGAUUUUAAUGACAGUAGAUUUGAUUUAGAAAUGAUUCUUAUUGAACUUUAUUCACUAUCAUGUUGUUUACUUGUUAUGUUCCAAGUAAGAAGCUUCAUUAGUGCUAACUCUCUCUUCCCAUUGGCCCCAAACAAACCAUAUUACUUCCAAUGAGAUAUUCUCACUGAUGCAUUCUUUGGAAGGCCUAAAACAUCACGGUCCUGCUGAAGCAGUAUGGCUAACUAAAAGAUCUUUCUUAUGACAUUCUUUUUCUAUUUAUUCAACGGUUAGUCAGCAAUAGACAUAUCAACAUAACUCCCUCCAUGUCUGGACUGUUUAUAUAUUUGAUAAAAGAAAGUAGGAGAACUCAACCCAUAAUGCUAAUGUCUAACACAUAACUUCCUCUGUGUUUAUGAUGCAGGAGCCUGUUGCAAAGAACCUGCUUCUGAGGUAUUAAAAGUUCUGAAUUUUUUUAUAGCAGAGGAAUGUUGGACUUCUUUAUCUUAAUGAUGAUUAAAUAAUAAUAAGUUUUUAUGUUCUAUGCAAAUCCUUCCAAUACCAAUUUUGACAAAGUACUUGCUAGGAAAGACAUAUAGUGAGCAAAGCUGAUGAGAAUCCUUUUUUGCUUUCAAUGCUAUUUUUCAUUUCUUAGGUAUUGAUAUAGUUAGUUUUUUUGUUUAUAAGAAUAAUUCUUUGAAGAGAGAUUAUUGAAGGGAACAUUGUAGUUGUUUGUGUUCUACUAUGCUUUUGAGGCUAUGUAGUUUCAAGCAAAAAAAUUCAUGUGGCAAUUUUAACAGAUACUAGAUUAUAGCAA